rnacentral:rRNA from 1 species
CCCUUAGAUGUUCUGGGCCGCACGCGCGCUACACUGACGAAUGCAACGAGCUUAUAACCUUGGCCGAAAGGUCUGGGUAAUCUCCAAAUUUCGUCGUGAUGGGGAUAGAUUAUUGCAAUUAUUAAUCUUCAACGAGGAAUGUCUAGUAAGCGCAAGUCAUCAGCUUGCGUUGAUUACGUCCCUGCCCUUUGUACACACCGCCCGUCGCUCCUACCGAUUGAAUGGUCCGGUGAAGCGCUCGGACCGCGGCCUCUUGACGGUUUUCCGUCGAUUGGCUGUGGGAAGUUCGUUAAACCUUAUCAUUUAGAGGAAGGAGAAGUCGUANCA